rnacentral:rRNA from 1 species
GACGAACGCUGGCGGCGUGCUUAACACAUGCAAGUCGAACGGAAAGGCCCUGCUUUUGUGGGGUGCUCGAGUGGCGAACGGGUGAGUAACACGAGAGUAACCUGCCCUUGACUUUGGGAUAACUUCAGGAAACUGGGGCUAAUACCGGAUAGGAGCUCCUGCUGCAUGGUGGGGGUUGGAAAGUUUCGGCGGUUGGGGAUGGACUCGCGGCUUAUCAGCGUGUUGGUGGGGUAGUGGCUUACCAAGGCUUUGACGGGUAGCCGGCCUGAGAGGUCGACCGGCCACAUUGGGACUGAGAUACGGCCCAGACUCCUAGGGGAGGCAGCAGUGGGGAAUAUCGCAAAAUGGGCGGAAGACAGAUGCAGCAACGCCGCGUGCGGGAUGACGGCCUUCGGGUUGUAAACCGCUUUCGCCUGUGACGAAGCGUGAGUGACGGUAAUGGGUAAAGAAGCACCGGCUAACUACGUG